rnacentral:rRNA from 1 species
GAUGAACGCUAGCGGCAGGCCUAACACAUGCAAGUCGAGGGGCAUCGCGGUGCAGCAAUGCACUGGCGGCGACCGGCGUACGGGUGCGUAACGCGUAUGCAACCUGCCCCGCACCGGGGGAUAGCCCGCCGAAAGGCGGAUUAAUACCCCAUGGUCCCCGGGGGCCCGCAUGGGCAUCCGGGUAAAGCCUUGGCGGUGCGGGAUGGGCAUGCGUGCCAUUAGCUGGCUGGUGGGGUAACGGCCCACCAGGGCAACGAUGGCUAGGGGGUCUGAGAGGAUGGUCCCCCACACUGGUACUGAGACACGGACCAGACUCCUACGGGAGGCAGCAGUGAGGAAUAUUGGUCAAUGGGCGGAAGCCUGAACCAGCCAUGCCGCGUGCGGGAUGAAGGCCCUACGGGUUGUAAACCGCUUUUCCCCGGGAAGAAUAACCCCGAUGAGUCGGGUGAUGCCGGUACCGGGGGAAUAAGGAUCGGCUAACUCCGUG